UUCAUUUUCCUCUGCAUUUUCAGCUACAAAACAGGAUGUCAAGCCUUUUUAUACACAAUAGAUGAAGAUGUCUGAGGCAGAAGAUAACUAACACAGUCUGAAGGAAGAGUUUUCACUCACACAGAAGGACGCUAGACUAAAGAGAAACUGGAGAGAUCUAAUGGGGCAGAAAUACACCCCAUUAUUAAUUGUAACUGGGGAUUUCGGAAAAGUACCUGGAUGGAGACAGGGUUCCGUUAAGCAUCAGCGUAGAGUCCUGAACCCUUCAAUCAGUGCCAUGUGGGAGAGUCCGUGGUGGUGCGUGAGGCGUGGCAGAGUGGGAGGAUCCGGAAGCAGAGAGAUCACAUUUCAUCAGCACCGGAAGCAGUGGAAACAGGGAUUGAGUCUGGGUGGUAAAUCCUCAAAGCCCAUCCCCGGUGGUGUACUUCUUAUCAAGGCUCUGCCACCUGCAAGUCUUACUUACAACUUCCUCAAACAGCACCACCUGCGGCGACCAAGUGUUCAAAUUGACGAGCCUACAGGGAACACCGCACAUUCAAACUACCAUAGGAUACCAGAUGCAUGCCAGCAGAGAUUACAGGGGUCAUAAAAGGGCUGAGUCACAAAGAA